AGAGUUUGAUCCUGGCUCAGGAUGAACGCUGGCGGCGUGCCUAAUACAUGCAAGUCGAGCGAACAGACGAGGAGCUUGCUCCUCUGACGUUAGCGGCGGACGGGUGAGUAACACGUGGAUAACCUACCUAUAAGACUGGGAUAACUUCGGGAAACCGGAGCUAAUACCGGAUAACAUGUUGAACCGCAUGGUUCAACAGUGAAAGACGGUCUUGCUGUCACUUAUAGAUGGAUCCGCGCCGCAUUAGCUAGUUGGUAAGGUAACGGCUUACCAAGGCAACGAUGCGUAGCCGACCUGAGAGGGUGAUCGGCCACACUGGAACUGAGACACGGUCCAGACUCCUACGGGAGGCAGCAGUAGGGAAUCUUCCGCAAUGGGCGAAAGCCUGACGGAGCAACGCCGCGUGAGUGAAGAAGGUCUUCGGAUCGUAAAACUCUGUUAUUAGGGAAGAACAAAUGUGUAAGUAACUAUGCACGUCUUGACGGUACCUAAUCAGAAAGCCACGGCUAACUACGUGCCAGCAGCCGCGGUAAUACGUAGGUGGCAAGCGUUAUCCGGAAUUAUUGGGCGUAAAGCGCGCGUAGGCGGUUUUUUAAGUCUGAUGUGAAAGCCCACGGCUCAACCGUGGAGGGUCAUUGGAAACUGGAAAACUUGAGUGCAGAAGAGGAAAGUGGAAUUCCAUGUGUAGCGGUGAAAUGCGCAGAGAUAUGGAGGAACACCAGUGGCGAAGGCGACUUUCUGGUCUGUAACUGACGCUGAUGUGCGAAAGCGUGGGGAUCAAACAGGAUUAGAUACCCUGGUAGUCCACGCCGUAAACGAUGAGUGCUAAGUGUUAGGGGGUUUCCGCCCCUUAGUGCUGCAGCUAACGCAUUAAGCACUCCGCCUGGGGAGUACGACCGCAAGGUUGAAACUCAA
rnacentral:rRNA from 1 species